UUGUGGGCGAACGUGUCAAAAUGGCGGACACUGUCUCCAGGAAGGGUACUGUUGGUGUGCAGUUGGUUUCUAUGGAGACGCGUGUGAAUAUAAUUUGUGUAACCCAUUGUGUCAGAAUGGUGCUACUUGUAUAGGAACAAACCAGUGUCAAUGUCCACCUCAUUACUCUGGUCCACUUUGUGAACUGAAAGAUGAGCCUGAUAGACCCAAGCGAAGUAAAGACAACAAAAACAACAAAAAAGUAGUGAAAAAGAAACAGUCUGAUCAAGG
rnacentral:sRNA from 1 species